AGAGUUUGAUCCUGGCUCAGGACGAACGCUGGCGGCGUGCCUAAUACAUGCAAGUAGAACGCUGAAGAGAGGAGCUUGCUCUUCUUGGAUGAGUUGCGAACGGGUGAGUAACGCGUAGGUAACCUGCCUUGUAGCGGGGGAUAACUAUUGGAAACGAUAGCUAAUACCGCAUAACAAUGGAUGACACAUGUCAUUUAUUUGAAAGGGGCAAUUGCUCCACUACAAGAUGGACCUGCGUUGUAUUAGCUAGUAGGUGAGGUAAUGGCUCACCUAGGCGACGAUACAUAGCCGACCUGAGAGGGUGAUCGGCCACACUGGGACUGAGACACGGCCCAGACUCCUACGGGAGGCAGCAGUAGGGAAUUUUCGGCAAUGGGGGAAACCCUGACCGAGCAACGCCGCGUGAAGGAAGAAGUAAUUCGUUAUGUAAACUUCUGUCAUAGAGGAAGAACGGUGGAUAUAGGGAAUGAUAUCCAAGUGACGGUACUCUAUAAGAAAGCCACGGCUAACUACGUGCCAGCAGCCGCGGUAAUACGUAGGUGGCGAGCGUUAUCCGGAAUUAUUGGGCGUAAAGAGGGAGCAGGCGGCACUAAGGGUCUGUGGUGAAAGAUCGAAGCUUAACUUCGGUAAGCCAUGGAAACCGUAGAGCUAGAGUGUGUGAGAGGAUCGUGGAAUUCCAUGUGUAGCGGUGAAAUGCGUAGAUAUAUGGAGGAACACCAGUGGCGAAGGCGACGAUCUGGCGCAUAACUGACGCUCAGUCCCGAAAGCGUGGGGAGCAAAUAGGAUUAGAUACCCUAGUAGUCCACGCCGUAAACGAUGAGUACUAAGUGUUGGGGGUCAAACCUCAGUGCUGCAGUUAACGCAAUAAGUACUCCGCCUGAGUAGUACGUUCGCAAGAAUGAAACUCAAAGGAAUUGACGGGGGCCCGCACAAGCGGUGGAGCAUGUGGUUUAAUUCGAAGCAACGCGAAGAACCUUACCAAGUCUUGACAUCCCUCUGACCGACUCUUAACCGAGUCUUUCCUUCGGGACAGAGGAGACAGGUGGUGCAUGGUUGUCGUCAGCUCGUGUCGUGAGAUGUUGGGUUAAGUCCCGCAACGAGCGCAACCCCUAUUGUUAGUUGCCAUCAUUCAGUUGGGCACUCUAGCGAGACUGCCGGUAAUAAACCGGAGGAAGGUGGGGAUGACGUCAAAUCAUCAUGCCCCUUAUGACCUGGGCUACACACGUGCUACAAUGGACAGAGCAGAGGGAAGCGAAGCCGCGAGGUGGAGCGAAACCCAUAAAACUGUUCUCAGUUCGGACUGCAGUCUGCAACUCGACUGCACGAAGAUGGAAUCGCUAGUAAUCGCGAAUCAGCAUGUCGCGGUGAAUACGUUCUCGGGCCUUGUACACACCGCCCGUCACACCAUGAGAGUCGGUAACACCCGAAGCCGGUGGCCUAACCGCAAGGAAGGAGCUGUCUAAGGUGGGACUGAUGAUUGGGGUGAAGUCGUAACAAGGUAUCCCUACGGGAACGUGGGGAUG
rnacentral:rRNA from 1 species